ACCUAUCGCUUGUACGUAGUACAAUCUCUGGUCACAAUGCUUCGCAUCAUCCUGUCAAACUGAACCGUAGGGACAAGUUAGGAUAUUGUAAUCAACCAUUACACUUAAACAACAUACAAAACAUGGUAUCCCUAUUCCUAAAACGGUUAACACGACUCACAUCUCUUUGAGCAAUUUUCGAAAUACGCAAGAACAAAGACUUAAAAUUAAUAAAAGGGACUUCGUCAUUUUGAAUCGUCCUCAUUUGCCGCUACCGACCAGAGUCCGUUACACAUACUCUGGUCAAACGAAGAAUUUGUGAUCGUUUUGUAAUUUAAAGUGCUGUGAAUAUCUGUUAUUUGUACCCAGCAUUCCUGUAGCCGGCGAAAUGUGUCAGGGAGUUGGUCCCAACCCGCACCAUCCAAACUAACCGUCAAGGACCGCGCUCUACGCUAAAAGUGGUCGUUUGGUUGGUGGUGCAAGGAGGUAACAAAAAUGUGAACCUCCAAGUUGGCAGAGCGCGCCAACCCGAGAA